AAUCCUUUAUGAUAUACACUGAUGUUAUGUAUCCAAAGAAUGAUGUCUUGACUAUAUCCUGUCUGUUCACUUUCCUAUCAAUAUUUAAAUGGUUUUCAGGUUUUUAUUUUCAAUUAUACUUACAUUUGAUGACUUCUUUGGAACACCAUCUGAGGAGUUAAUCUUCAUAAUCCAGCCAACAUAAAUGAACCCUUAGAACUACCCUGUUUUUAUUUUUUGUGUAUGCCAAGAUUUAAUGCAUAGCCAAGUAGCAUGAGGCAAGCUCGUUUAAGAGGAGUGUUGUAAAGUUAGAUUUUCAUUAUAUUUAGUGAGAGAUGGUGAUGAUCUCUUAAUUCUUUGCUGCCACAUCUGAGGCUCAAUAGCAAUGGCUUCAUGUCCUCACCCAUACUAACAUGAAUCCAUAAUAUACAUCUUGUGCGGAAUAUAAAUGAAAAAGCUUCCAUUCCAUUCCCAGUCUUCCCAAGAAGCAUGUACCAAAAAGAAAAAAAAAAAGAAAAAAAAAAAAAAAAGCAGAGCACAUUUGCCAUAUUAAAAUUGUCAAGCCCUUGUUUAUAGAUAAGAUUUAGACAUGGCUAAUCUUAUUUGUGUUCAAUAUUUAUAGGUCUUUGGAGCCUAUUACCUAUACCAGAUAUACUGGAAAGUAAUAGAACUGUACGUAAAUCCAACCCCCAUUCUUUGCCUGGAAAUAGUGAACAGAGGAACUUCGCUCCUGUGGGCCAGAAGAAUUAGUUGGCUUAUAUGACCACAGAGUUGAAAUGGUGACUCUUCUCCAUGUGGACCCCACAAUACAGCUGAAAGCAAGCGCUUCUUUGCCAGUGCCUAUGGUCAAGUCCCCGUAUCAGUUCUGGUCAGGCCUACUGUAAGAGCACCACAGCAGGAAGGUGGAACUCACCGAUUGGUCAGGUCUGGGUCACGCGGUCCACUCCACUAGAUUUCCCUUCAGCUGCACCUAAACCAUGUGGACCAACAGAAAGGAAGGUGGAGUUAAUCCACCCAGAUUGCAAGGAGUGAUGCCUAAAAUGGGGAGGAGAUUCUGAGCAGGCAAAACCACAAGCACUCAAUUCCUGUAGAUCUCAAAGAGGUUUGGGCAAGCUCUUCCUUUGCCAGUCUUGCUUCUCCCGUGUGCAUCAAUUUGGGAUUUUUCUUUCCUCUCCCUAAAUGGCAGAAUGGGGGAAAGGUAGGGAAGGAAAGUAUCCAAUCCCUAGAGUUGUAUCUCCCUCCUCAUCACAUGUGGCCAGUUUUUCACAAGCAGUUCUCCAGCUCUCACCCUCACCCUCACUCAAUCCUCUACCACAUGGAUGUCCUAAGACCAGGGCUCUUCAAUAAGAUGUUGAGAAGACUCGCAAAAGCACAACUUCCUCUAAAUACACAAGAACUCUUCCAUAACUUCCGAAGCCCCCUGGGCCAUCAGAGUGUUUUCACUCUCACAUGACAGAAACCAAACUCCCAUUUGGCUCAAACUGAAAAAGGAGAUUUACUGGUCACAUAACAAACUCCAUGGAUGGAGCUCAGCAUGGUAACCUCAGAUCCUCCAAUGACCAUGUCAUGAAUGGUUUGCUGUCUCCAACUCACCUCUGCUCUCCCCUCUUUUGGCUUAAUUCUCAUGCAAACUCUCCCUGUGACACAGCAGAAUGACUUGAUGGCCCCAAACACACCCCUGCAGUGAAUCAACCAGCCUGGGAGAGAUUUUUCCUCUUCCCAGAGUCUCCUUGGCCCAGAAUGGCCAGGACCAGUCACUGUUGCCAGGAGCAUGCAACAGACUGAUAGGUCAUCCUCAUCUUGUUUCCACCCAUUGAGCCCAGUGUACUUUGUCCCUCUGGAGGGGAAAAGGACAGCCCUGAAAUCUGGAAAGGCAGUCCUCUUACAGCCCUUGUUCACUUUUGCACCUGUGGGUGUCUACUCCUUGCCCUUCUACCAUUUGACUCUUUGUCAUUUUGGGCUCAGAUUAAGUUUUACCUCCUCAGAGAAAAGGGCACUGAUCACCAUUCAGGAAGGAAGUUCUGUUUGUAUUUUUUUCAAUAUGCCAUCUUAUUUCCUUCAUAGCCGACUUGUUCUCUUCCUCCUCCUCCUGUUCUACCUUUCCUCAUCCUCUCCUCCACCACCUCCUCCUUUCCUUAAACCAGUGACCUGAUUUCCUGUCAUUUGUAUAUAAAAUAAUCAUAUUGUGAUCAGUAGAAAAGUACUGGCAAUUUUUGCCACAAUAUUAUCAAAAAGAAGGCAAUCCUUUUUUAAUAAAAAUAACAUAAAAGAAAUAAGAUUGGAAAAAAGUAGUAGGCUGAAAGAAUAUUUGCUAAGACUGUAAAAAAAAUGUUUACAAGAACAUCAUCACAUCCUAUUUAUGUGAGUUCUUGGGAGAGUUCAAGUUCAAUAUGAAUUAAAUACUGUAACUUGUGCCUCUAAGUGCCCCAAAUUUUCUCUUCACUAUUUGAUGAUAGACUUUCUCAAGUGUAUUAUUCCCUGCCUUUUGAGACAGAAUAUAAUUAAUAUAAUUUUACCUCAGCUUAAUGGCACAGGGUCAUCUUGAAGAUUAUUAUUUCACUGAGCUGGAAGACCGUGGUGUCCUUGGGGGCUUCAGAGUUGGGAUGGAGGUUGUGGUCCUUGUAUUAAGAGGCCCUAAACACAGUGCUUCUCCCCUGUCCCCUUUCCUCCCCAACCCCUUCCAGUUUAUUGCUGCAGCCCUGCUGUGGGUUUGGAAGAACAGCUAACCCAGUUAAGUCAUUGGCAGUUAACAGAAUUGUGUUUUGUGUGAGGGAAAUGUCUUGUUUGUGGAUGAAGCUCAGGCACUCUUAUGUGCAGCACAUCAGCUUUCCUGCUUUGAUUGUGGCUGUGCAGAGACUUUUUCCUCCUAUUUCCUAUUUCCCACUGGGCUUUAGCUAACAGAAGUCUCUGGAUUCAUAACUUGGUUAAAGAAAUUUUACUAUGAUUAAGAAACCCAGGCCAGACUCGUUAGGAUCAUGGGCUUCUGUGUUGCUACACCACUCACAGGCCAUUCUUCUCUCCAUACUUUGCAAGAGUGUCACCAUACUAGUCCAGCUCAGACUCUGGCAGUGGUCAGCCAAUUCUUCUCUAAAGAACCAGGUAGUAAAUACUGUGUGCUUUGUGAGCCAACAGGAAAAAUCAAGGAUAUUAUGUUGGUUCUUGAAGGAGAAGAGAGAAAACAAAUUUCCACAGAUUUUACAUUAAUGAGUUUCAAAGUGUAAUAAUGAUAAUUGAGUACAAUUAUUGCAAUAUGGUUUUACGCAUGAGAAGAACAAAAUCCUUUUUUGAGAAGGACUAACAUUUUGCUUAAUUGGGGUUCAAAGCUAGUGUUCUUUAGCCUCAGAUUGAUUGUAAAUAUUCAUUUGUAAAAGCCAUCUUAGCUCAUAAGCUAUUCAGGAACAGGUACAGUGAGCCAGAUUUGGACCAUAGUUUCCCAACCCCUGGACUAUGGCAUAAACUGAUAACUGUCCCCCAUAUCUGUUGUUUCUUUUUCCUUUUAGUAAUAUAAUGCUCUGAAUUUUAGCUCAGCUCAUAACCACAUUGCUGGGUACCUUUCUUUUCAGCCUUCCUUGCAACUCAGUGGGACCAAGUCAUUCAAUUCUGGAUAAUCAGAUGAGAGCUUGCUUGAUGUCAACAAAGCAAGAUUUGUGCUCCGGGCAAUCGGAGUGGAAUCAGUUUCCAGAGAGCCAAGUUCUUUGACUUCCCCUAGAAGGAAAGGGUAUGGAAUUGAGCAUAUGGGAAGGCUCUCUAAACCCUUUUACAUUAUUGGAUUUAGCUACGCUCACAUAAUGAAAUUGUUGAGAUUGUUUAAACCUUCUGCGGGGACUUCUGUUAGCGGAGAAGAAACUUGUACUAAAGCCAUAAGAAGAUUGUGUUAUAGAUAUAAUGGAAUCUUUUUUAUCUUUUGCCUGGUUUUCUGUGUAGGGCUGACAUUUUUUUUCUGGGCAUGAAGCCAAGGGUCUAUUUAAUUUCUCAAAAUUUCCCAUGGUCACUAAUACUGUCCCCCUGACAGCAGUUUCAUAAAUUUAUAAAUAAAGACAAAGCCAUAAGAAAGGUUGUGAAUCCUUGCAAUUAACUUCAAAUAGCGUUUGGCAGCUUUUUUUUUUUUUUAAGGUGGCUAUUUUGCUCCGUAAACAUAGUGACACCUAUAGAAAGCAUGUUCUUGAUUCUUCAGAACAUUUUUCACUGAUCUUACCUAAAUCCCAAUAAAAUAUUGAACUUUAUCUUUGUCUCGAAACCACAUCUAUGAUUAAAUAAAUCUUGAAUAUAAAAAUGCAAGUUGACUUACAUCUGAUGAAUUCUCAUGAACAAUUAAAUUUAUAUCACUCAUUUUUCUUGCAUUUAGGAUUAUGGGGUGAUGGUGGCAUUUUUUAUUUUGAAUGUAAAAUCCUGUUUGUUUUGUUGUUGUUGUUUUUUUACUUUUAGAUUUUU